UCGAAGUCACAUUCUCCAUGUUUGCAAUUUCUGCCUUCAAGCUCCCUUUCACCCCUUGUAAUGCUACUACGUGUCUGUCUUUACCACUGCGAGGAUAACGCUAACACUACGCAAUGCCUACACCUAAUUGCGGCGCAAUCAGUGGUCUUCCACUCUGAGAAAACUGGCAGAGAAGAUCAAGAUAAUAUUCUCAGUUGACACAGUUGCUUACCGGAAUCGUGAGUGAGCAUACCACGACCGCGGCUUGUGUGGGAGGGCUCAAAGCCACGUGUAGGGAUAAAGAUGGCUAAAGAAUACCAGUGGUGCCGAAUUGAGGCAUUCACACUCAAAUUCAGCAUUGGUCCGGGUUUAGGAUUUAGUAACUCACCCAUGCUUCUAAGAUUUGUGAUGGUGUCUUGACCAACUCUGAGGAACGCAUUUGUGUUGAGGGGUUUGGGUUUUCUGCUGUGACUCAUUGGAACAUGCGUUGAUCAACAAGAUCGAUGGCAGCUUUUCUGUGGCACAAAGUAGCUGCGAUCUCUGGUUUUUCCAUUUGGGCUGUUGCUCUUAAUCUAGUAGAGAGAUCAUCUUCAACAUCCAGAAUGAAGGCGAAAUGCUGGACAUUCACAGGUAUUACAGCUAUAGUAGCUGGCACAUUUGGGUCGCAUGGGUUCAAACCGACAGAUCCGGUUUACAAAACUUUGUGCUCCACGGACGCUUUACCUAUGAUUUGGUGCCUCGAGGCAUGGCAGGUGUGGCAGACAGGCAACCUGUAUCACCUAGUUCAUACGUCAGCCCUUCUUGUUGCUCCUUACACUAAGCGCCCUCAUUUGGUGCAGUUUGGAAGUCUUCUGACGUUCGGGAUUGCAGCUUUCUCGGGGACUUAUCAGAAAAAUACCAAAAAUGGAUACUCCAGUCAUGUAGGUUGUAUGUCGUGGCACUGACUGAAAAUCGCAAGCUCAAUAAGCCAGCCCCAUUUGGAGGCAUGUCAUUUAUUCUUGCAUGGGGAUCUCUCCUCUUUUGAGUGUCCGUUGCGAUUGCAAGUUUGGGUGCACAGAAAGGGACAAGGUUGACGCGCUUCGGCGAUGAACGCGAAGGAAUUUAAAUUUCCCUGCUCCCAUGGAGGAUCCUUCAAAUACAUAUGGACGAUGACCUGUGGAUGCCUUGUAACUAUUCUGUAUCUGUGGAGACGCAAAAAUAGAGACGCAAAAAUAUUUCAGUGACAAACAAUGCCAAUCACAAAUGGGUCCACAAUUAAUGAUAUGUAACAUGUUACAACUUCAACAGAAUGUUACUUAUGUUACAGGAAUAUGCACUUAAA